rnacentral:sRNA from 1 species
AUAUUUGUCUGGUUCCUGUCUCUGUCCGUCGUUCGUCCGACUUUGUCCGUCUGCUGUCUUCUGUCCGUCUGCCCGUCCAUCCCUCAGUCUCUCUGCGGUCCCGUUACCGUCCUCAGUCUGGCUCGCGCUGCCUCCCAGGCACUUCCCCAGCUCGCCCCGGACCAUCUGGGCCCCAGCGCGGAGACUGGGAUGGGAGGGGAGGGAGCCCCGGACUUUCUUAGCUGCCCUCGAGUGAGGCGGGUGCGGGUCGUCACGGACCACCGGGCGGAACUCUGGGUUGGGAGAGCAGGAAUCGAGGGAGGUUCGGGUGUGCGCGGGGAGUGCGCGGUCGCGGGUUCGGGACCUGGGGGGAGGCCAACCUCUGUUCUGUAGCUGCAGCUGCAGAGGGGAGGGGCUCCAGCAAGACCCUGGCUGGGAGGCCCGUUCUCCCUUCCCUUUCCCCAGCCCCCCUCUCCUUCCCUCUUCCCCUCAUUAAAUCUGAGGUUCAUUCAGGCAGCCCCCUCCCCCUCUGGCCCCACACAAAGAGGCCCUGAGAGGGAGAAGGGGCUCCAGCGGCUGCUGAAUCUCGGGACUCGCUUUCCUUUGUCCCUGACGGGUGUGUGUGGGUGUGGGUAUGUGUGUGUGUGUGUGUGUGAGAGAGAGAGAGAGAGAGAGGAGGGGGUGUAGGGGAGAGCUGGGGGUCUAGAGAUUUACUUCACAGCCAUUUUCUGAGAAUGAGAUCAGCAUAGACAGCACAGAGAGGCAAGAGAGCCUCUCGCCUCACUAGGCCUCCAUUUUUCGUGUGUGUGUGUGCGUGUGCAUGUGCUUGUGCAGGAGGAGGAAUCAAGCUGGUGCCUGAAAUCCCUCCCAGCCCAAAGAAUGCAAGGUUUGGGCCAGGUCUCUGCCAACAAGGGUUUGCUUCCUGGUGAGGGAGGCAGAGCUUCCACAGUGGACCUGAUUUCCAUCGGUUGCACCUGCAUUGGAACUGGGCUGAAGGUGAAAUGGGCUGAAGGCGUCCUGCCUCUGCGGCUCUGCCCCCUGCAUCCUGUGCAGCUGCUGCCCCGCCAGCCGCAACUCCACCGUGAGCCGCCUCAUCUUCACAUUCUUCCUCUUCUUGGGGGUGCUGGUGUCCAUCAUUAUGCUAAGCCCGGGCGUGGAGAGUCAGCUCUACAAGCUGCCCUGGGUGUGUGAGGAGGGGGCCGGGAUCCCCACCGUCCUGCAGGGCCACAUCGACUGUGGCUCCCUGCUUGGCUACCGCGCUGUCUACCGCAUGUGCUUCGCCACAGCGGCCUUCUUCUUCUUUUUCACCCUGCUCAUGCUCUGUGUGAGCAGCAGCCGGGACCCCCGGGCUGCCAUCCAGAACGGGUUUUGGUUCUUUAAGUUCCUGAUCCUGGUGGGCCUCACCGUGGGUGCCUUCUACAUCCCUGACGGCUCCUUCACCAACAUCUGGUUCUACUUUGGCGUCGUGGGCUCCUUCCUCUUUAUCCUCAUCCAGCUGGUGCUGCUCAUCGACUUUGCGCACUCCUGGAACCAGCGGUGGCUGGGCAAGGCCGAGGAGUGCGAUUCCCGUGCCUGGUACGCAGGCCUCUUCUUCUUCACUCUCCUCUUCUACUUGCUGUCGAUCGCGGCCGUGGCGCUGAUGUUCAUCUACUACACUGAGCCCAGCGGCUGCCACGAGGGCAAGGUCUUCAUCAGCCUCAACCUCACCUUCUGUGUCUGCGUGUCCAUCGCUGCUGUCCUGCCCAAGGUCCAGGACGCCCAGCCCAACUCGGGUCUGCUGCAGGCCUCAGUCAUCACCCUCUACACCAUGUUUGUCACCUGGUCAGCCCUAUCCAGUGUCCCUGAACAGAAAUGCAACCCCCACUUGCCAACCCAGCUGGGCAACGAGACGGUCGUGGCAGGCCCCGAGGGCUAUGAGACCCAGUGGUGGGAUGCCCCGAGCAUUGUGGGCCUCAUCAUCUUCCUCCUGUGCACCCUCUUCAUCAGUCUGCGCUCCUCAGACCACCGGCAGGUGAACAGCCUGAUGCAGACCGAGAAGUGCCCACCUAUGCUAGACGCCACACAGCAGCAGCAGCAGCAGGUGACGGCCUGUGAGGGCCGGGCCUUUGACAACGAGCAGGACGGCGUCACCUACAGCUACUCCUUCUUCCACUUCUGCCUGGUGCUGGCCUCACUGCACGUCAUGAUGACGCUCACCAACUGGUACAAACCCGGCGAGACCCGGAAGAUGAUCAGCACGUGGACCGCCGUGUGGGUGAAGAUCUGUGCCAGCUGGGCAGGGCUGCUCCUCUACCUGUGGACCCUCGUAGCCCCACUCCUCCUGCGCAACCGCGACUUCAGCUGAGGCAGCCUCACAGCCUGCCACCUGGUGCCUCCUGCCACUUGGUGCCUCUCGGCUCAGUGACAGCCAACCUGCCCCCUCCCCACACCAAUCAGCCAGGCUGAGCCCCCACCCCUGCCCCAGCUCCAGGACCUGCCCCUGAGCCGGGCCCUCUAGUCUUAGUGCCUUCAGGGUCCGAGGAGCAUCAGGCUCCUGCAGAGCCCCAUCCCCCCGCCACACCCACACAGUGGAGCUGCCUCUUCCUUCCCCUCCUCCCUGUUGCCCAUACUCAGCAUCUCGGAUGAAAGGGCUCCCUUGUCCUCAGGCUCCAAGGGAGUGGGGCUGCUGGAGAGAGCGGGGAACUCCCACCACAGUGGGGCAUCUGGCACUGAGGCCCUGGUGUUCCUGGUCACAUCCCCCAGGGGACCCUGCCCCCUUCCUGGACUUCGUGCCUUACUGAGUCUCUAAGACUUUUUCUAAUAAACAAGCCAGUGCGUGUACC